UACGAAGGGGGCGAGCGUUGUUCGGAAUUACUGGGCGUAAAGGGCGCGUAGGCGGCGAACCAAGUCAGAUGUGAAAGUCCUGGGCUUAACCUGGGGACUGCAUUUGAUACUGGUUUGCUUGAAUUCGGGAGAGGAUAGCGGAAUUCCCAGUGUAGAGGUGAAAUUCGUAGAUAUUGGGAAGAACACCAGUGGCGAAGGCGGCUCACUGGCCCGGUACUGACGCUGAGAUACGAAAGCGUGGGGAGCAAACAGG
rnacentral:rRNA from 1 species